rnacentral:rRNA from 1 species
UUGGUGGGGUAACGGCCUACCAAGGCAAUGAUGGGUACCGGGUGUGAGAGCAUGGCCUGGCUCACUGGGACUGACACACUGCCCAGACCCCUACGGGUGGCUGCAGUCGAGAAUCUUCCGCAAUGGGCGAAAGCCUGACGGAGCGACGCCGCGUGCGGGACGAAAGCCUUCGGGUUGUAAACCGCUGUCAGAGGGGAGUAAGUGAAGGGGGUUAUCCCCUGGAUCUGAACUAUCCUCAUAGGAAGGACGGGCUAAGUUCCUGCCAGCCGCCGCGGUAAAACGAACCGUCCAAACGUUAUUCGGAAUCCCUGGGCUUAAAGGGUGCGUAAGCGGCCCUGCAAGUUGGGUGUGAAAUCCCACGGCUCAACCGUGGAAUUGCGCCCAAAACUGCAGGACUUGAGGGAGACAGAGGUGAGCGGAAACUUAUGGUGUGAGCGGUGAAAUGCGUCGAUAUCAUAAGGAACAUCCGGUGGGCGAAGCGGCUCACUGGGUCUCUUCUGACGCUGAGGCACGAAAGCUAGGGUAGCGAACAGGAUUAGAUACCCUGGUAGUCCUACCUGUAAACGAUGAGCACUAUGCUGGAGGCUCCUCCAUAAGCUUCCGGCCGAUGCGAA